GAUGAACGCUGGCGGCGUGCCUAAUACAUGCAAGUCGAGCGAACAGACGAGGAGCUUGCUCCUCUGACGUUAGCGGUGGACGGGUGAGUAACACGUGGAUAACCUACCUAUAAGACUGGGAUAACUUCGGGAAACCGGAGCUAAUACCGGAUAACAUGUUGAACCGCAUGGUUCAACAGUGAAAGACGGUCUUGCUGUCACUUAUAGAUGGAUCCGCGCCGCAUUAGCUAGUUGGUAAGGUAACGGCUUACCAAGGCAACGAUGCGUAGCCGACCUGAGAGGGUGAUCGGCCACACUGGAACUGAGACACGAUCCAGACUCCUACGGGAGGCAGCAGUAGGGAAUCUUCCGCAAUGGGCGAAAGCCUGACGGAGCAACGCCGCGUGAGUGAAGAAGGUCUUCGGAUCGUAAAACUCUGUUAUUAGGGAAGAACAAAUGUGUAAGUAACUAUGCACGUCUUGACGGUACCUAAUCAGAAAGCCACGGCUAACUACGUG
rnacentral:rRNA from 1 species